rnacentral:rRNA from 1 species
GACGAACGCUGGCGGCGUGCUUAACACAUGCAAGUCGAACGGAAAGGCCCUUUCGGGGGUACUCGAGUGGCGAACGGGUGAGUAACACGUGGGUGAUCUGCCCUGCACUUUGGGAUAAGCCUGGGAAACUGGGUCUAAUACCGGAUAGGACUACGCGAUGCAUGUCGGGUGGUGGAAAGCUUUUGCGGUGUGGGAUGGGCCCGCGGCCUAUCAGCUUGUUGGUGGGGUGAUGGCCUACCAAGGCGACGACGGGUAGCCGGCCUGAGAGGGUGUCCGGCCACACUGGGACUGAGAUACGGCCCAGACUCCUACGGGAGGCAGCAGUGGGGAAUAUUGCACAAUGGGCGCAAGCCUGAUGCAGCGACGCCGCGUGAGGGAUGACGGCCUUCGGGUUGUAAACCUCUUUCAAUAGGGACGAAGCGCAAGUGACGGUACCUAUAGAAGAAGCACCGGCCAACUACGUGCCAGCCGCCGCCGUAACAC